UUAACAUUCAACGCUUCAAAGAGCAGGGCUUCAUUAUCUCCUGCUGUCUCAAUGAUUCUCUGCACGGUCAAUUGAGAUUGACGACAUUGCUGGAUGAGUGUAGUUGUCAAAUCAUCCUGCCAAUGGAAAGAGCAUUCUGAACAAAUCGAUCUCUAAUAAAUAAUCGAGACAAUCUUGCUGAAAUAUCUGCUAAAUGUUGAAGUGCGCCUAGGCAAGCACUUCGCACGGCCACCCGCUUUCAAGGGUUGAGGUACCGGGCAUUGUGCCCCCUUGCACCCAAGAUGUUACAGCCAAGUGUUGGUGGAGGACAAAAACAAAUGAGCUGGACAAAUAAGAUUAAAAAGAGGAUAAUUGAAAAAAAGGAACGACGUUAGGAGUUAAAAGCAUCUGGCAGAAAAGAGGAUGAGACAAAACAGGAAAAUGAUGAGCAGCAACCCCCAUCCACCCUCUCUCUCUCUCUCUCUCUCUCUCUCUCUCUCUCUCUCUCUCUCUCUCUCUCAUUUGUCCUAAAUUCAGGGUGGGUUUGAAGACUUGUCUAUCUUCGCUAAUUGUUGCAUGUGCCACAUAUUUGAAUACGUUGUGCUCCUCUGCUAUUGGAAUUUCAAGGGAGUAGGUCCCUUGCUUUAUGUACAGGAACUAUUAGACAAGGGAUGGUUGGAACAUGAGAUAGGCACACUUGCAAACUUGCAGGGAGGCAAUUUAAAAGGCAAACCUCUAAUGGUAAAAAUGCAUGCAAUGUAUUAUCCUCAAUGAAAAAUUUGGAGAAGUAAUAAACGUCUGUGUUAAUUUCAAGUCAAUAUAAACAAAUUAGGAAGUUGUAAAAGGAAACAAUCUAGAUAAUGCUACUGUGGGAGAAAAUGUCUCCUCCUGUAGACCAACCACCACCCCUCCACCAACCGCGCCCCAAACCACCACCACCACCACCCCCCACGACAAAAGCCCAAAAAAAAAAAAAAUCCAACCAGCUGGUUGUAGCUUCAAAGGCAUGUUAGCAAAAAAUUUGAUAGAUUAGCAAUAAAGCAAAAGAUAGUUGACUGAAUCCU